UAAAAUUAUUGAAUUUCAAUAAAUUUUCAAAUUAUCUUUAUCAAAUACUUUUAUUUCGAAUUACAUAUAUAAAUACUUGAAUACACUAUAUUAGUAUCGAUUCUAUUCAUUAGAAAGCAUAGUGUCACAUUCUUAUUUGAAAGUGAAUUGCGUAGAUUUUCUUCGGGUCGCAGAUUGCGUACAGCGUCUCCUUCGAUUUCCUGGCACGCAAUUGCGUAGACCUCGAUAUAUGCUUUAUCCCCGUACAGUAUAGAUUGGAAACCGGAUGUUCUACUCUCUACAGAAAUCUACAUUGACAUUUUAAGAAACUAGCCUAAAAGUUUUUCUUUUCGCGGUGAGAUCUUGAAUGACAUUGGAAUAUGAGGGAGAACAAAAGAAGCGAGCAGGCGUGAAAUAUAAUUGUUAGAACCGACAAUGAAUAGUGACAGAAUGCGCUAAUCGCCAAGAUUAACUUUCACAUAUUAUAACAAUUUUAUGAAUGUACUGGAAUGUUCUGAAAGAAUAGGAAGCUUUAUUAAGAUCAUAGCCGAUUACUCAACUAUGCUUGAAUAAAUUUUAAUUUUGCAGAAAUUUUCUCCUGUCAUUAACCUUGACGACUUAACUUAAGAUAUCUCCUAUUUAAUGUUCGGUUAAAUUACACUUGGUAUCUUCGUAUAUAUGUACAUUCUAUUCUGUUGAAUGUAUAUGUUUCUCAAAUGAAAAGAUAAUAAAUAAAGUGCUACACAUUGAACAACGUGUUUUACGGUUAGAUAACAAAAAUUUCACUUCAUCAGUUCAAGUCAACCAAAUAAGCAAUUUCCACGAUGGGAAAGUCACGAUGGUGGUUACAUCCUUAGCAUGAAACUGUUCGAAUGAAUAGAGAGUUGAAGAUGCAUCUGAGGUCGAAAAAAGUUAUGUUGGGUCGAAAGUGAAACUAACAUUUCAACGUGG